UGGGUGAGUAACGCGUGGGUAACCUGCCCUUAAGUCUGGGAUACCAUUUGGAAACAGAUGCUAAUACCGGAUAAAAGCUACUUUCGCAUGAAAGAAGUUUAAAAGGCGGCGUAAGCUGUCGCUAAAGGAUGGACCUGCGAUGCAUUAGCUAGUUGGUAAGGUAACGGCUUACCAAGGCGAUGAUGCAUAGCCGAGUUGAGAGACUGAUCGGCCGCAUUGGGACUGAGACACGGCCCAAACUCCUACGGGAGGCAGCAGGU
rnacentral:rRNA from 1 species